AUUGAACGCUGGCGGCAUGCCUUACACAUGCAAGUCGAACGGCAGCACGGGAGCAAUCCUGGUGGCGAGUGGCGAACGGGUGAGUAAUACAUCGGAACGUGCCCAGUAGUGGGGGAUAACCCGGCGAAAGCCGGACUAAUACCGCAUACGACCUACGGGUGAAAGCAGGGGAUCGCAAGACCUUGCGCUAUCGGAGCGGCCGAUGUCAGAUUAGCUUGUUGGCGGGGAAAAGCCCACCAAGGCGACGAUCUGUAGCUGGUCUGAGAGGACGACCAGCCACACUGGGACUGAGACACGGCCCAGACUCCUACGGGAGGCAGCAGUGGGGAAUUUUGGACAAUGGGCGCAAGCCUGAUCCAGCCAUGCCGCGUGCGGGAAG
rnacentral:rRNA from 1 species